UACAGAGGGUGCAAGCGUUGUUCGGAAUUACUGGGCGUAAAGCGUGCGUAGUCGGUAUUGAGAGUCGCGGGUGAAAUCCCAGGGCUUAACCCUGGAACUGCCUGCGAGACCUCAGUACUAGAGUGUGAGAGGGGAUAGUGGAAUACCCAGUGUAGCGGUGAAAUGCGUAGAGAUUGGGUGGAACACCGGUGGCGAAAGCGGCUUCCUGGGUCCAGCACCGACGUCAGGCACGGAAAGCGUGGGGAGCAAACAGG
rnacentral:rRNA from 1 species